rnacentral:lncRNA from 1 species
UUUAAAAUCAAAGAGCUGAAUAGCUCUGAGGGGAAAGACGGCCCUUGUUUCUAUUUUAUUAUGUUUUUGGAAAGGGGGGGUAUCUUUUGAUAGUUUACAUAUGAAGAAUGAAAAAGAGAACCGCUAGAACAUGUAGAAAAGUUGACAAUAUUGAAAUCAAUUGUUGUUUAUGUAAUUUCAUUUCCUUAGUUUAGGAUUCAAUUUGGACCAAUGGAAGUGAUCUGCAUCUUCUAAAUCUAAACAUUUGAUUAAAG